rnacentral:rRNA from 1 species
CCCUUAGAUGUUCUGGGCGGCCCGCGCACUACAAUGGCGCUUUCAGCGAGUUCCUAUGUUGAAUUUUCCUGGGUAUUCUUGGAAGCGGCGUCUUGACUUGGGAUAGAUCCUUGUAAUUGUUGGUUUUGAACGAGGAAUUCCUUGUAAUCGCGGUUGAUCAACUCGCGUUGAAUACGUCCCUGCCCUUUGUACACACCGCCCGUCGCUCCUACCGAUGAAUCGUCCGGUGAAGUUCACAGAGUGGCGGUUCGUGGAGUUGCUCGCGAAGUGAAAUGGACCUCACGAUUUAGAGGAAGGAGAAGUCGUAACA